GGGCGUAUGGUCUAGUGGUACGACGUCUCAUUUGCAUUGAGAAGGUCCCGGGUUCGAACCCCGGUACGUCCA
rnacentral:tRNA from 1 species